GGAGGUGUAGCUCAGUGAUGCAGUGUAUGCUUAGCAUGCACAAGGUCCUAGGUUCAAUCCCCAGUACUUCUG
rnacentral:tRNA from 1 species